rnacentral:rRNA from 1 species
UACAGAGGGUGCUAGCGUUGUUCGGAAUCAUUGGGCGUAAAGGGCGUGUAGGCGGUUUGUUAAGUCAUGUGUGAAAUCCCUCGGCUCAGCCGGGGAACGACGCAUGAAACUGGCAAGCUAGAGUACCAAAGAGGGGGGUGGAAUUCCCGGUGUAGCGGUGAAAUGCGUAGAUAUCAUCAGGAACACCGGUGGCGAAAGCGGCUUACUGGGUCUCUUCUGACGCUGAGAUACGAAAGCUAGGGGAGCGAAGGGG